UACAGAGGGGGCAAGCGUUGUUCGGAAUUACUGGGCGUAAAGGGCGCGUAGGCGGCCUGCUAAGUCGAACGUGAAAUCCCCGGGCUCAACCCGGGAACUGCGUCCGAUACUGGCGGGCUUGAAUUCGGGAGAGGGAUGUGGAAUUCCAGGUGUAGCGGUGAAAUGCGUAGAUAUCUGGAGGAACACCGGUGGCGAAGGCGACAUCCUGGACCGGUAUUGACGCUGAGGCGCGAAAGCCAGGGGAGCAAACGGG
rnacentral:rRNA from 1 species